UUCUAGACAAGCAGGGGAGUAGCUUUUGUUUCUUCCUGAAAGUCGAGGCGUUGGUGACAGUAAUUUGAGUGUGGAAAAGUGUGCAAGAGGGGAAGUGUUCAGUGGAGGAGUCGAUAAGGAAGCAGGUCAUGCUGCUUCAGCAGUGCUGUCGUCGUUCCUUUCACAAAAGGAAGCCUGCACUGGGUGCAGGUUACACUCCUGCACACAUUUGUGCCAGCCAAUAUUCCUAUUGUGGAUCUUCAUCAAAGCUAUGACAAUGUCAGGACAGAAAAACUCGGGGGAGGGCAGGAAGACGGUUGCCAAUUCUCUCCUUUAUCUGCAGAACCGAGAAAUUAUUUCUGAGCUCAGCCAAGUUCCCUGCUGGAGCCCAGCUGCCAGUCUGUACCUGUCAAGUCCUUUGCCAGAACCAAGGCAGUUUUCCCUGUGCCUGAGAUGUGUGAACUCAAAAGGAUGUGCGUCACGCUUUUAAGAACUUAUCUUGGCAGUCACACCUUUUCUCCUGCAUAAGGACCUUUGGGAGUGCAGAACGUUCUCGUAGGCUGCAGGUAAAAUGCCAUCCACUGAACCAGUAACCUAAUUUCCUGCAACAGGCUGGAUGUUUUCUUUGGAAGAGGACCACCUAAUAUUGAUAAGGUUGCCUGGCACUGGCACUACUCACAAGAACUUUUCAGUAAGCACAAGGCGUGUGUCCUUCUCUACAAACAGCAAAUGCAAAUAAAAUAAUAUUAUGGUCAAACAGGUGGAAUGUUUGCAACCUAAACAAGCAUAAGAAUCCCAAGACAAGCUAUGAUGCCUUUCCCAGUAAGUUUAACGUGGAGUUUAGAAGAAUUGAGCACCAGCAUUAAAUACCCUCUCCCCAGAUGGGUGUUAAAUAGUGUUUUCAGGAAGGUAUGAACACUGAAAGAGCAGAUCCAGCUUUGGAAGAAGCCAGGGUGCAAAAAGAUUGUUGGUCAGGAAAAGCCUUCGACACGUGAAUCUUUUACCAGAUGCAUUUGGCAAAGGUUCAGAAUCAUAAUUGGGAAGACAAAGAGGGGGAAGAGAUUCAGCCUGGGGGCUGGUUGAGCGUUCUGAUCGUGGACUGAGCUCUUUGGCUGUUUGAUAAAGCUCUGCAGGUACAAGUUGGCAACUGAGGCUGAACCUGCAAUCUGGUUGCCUCUCCAAAAUGACAGGCUGGGUCCCUGAGCAACACUUAGGGUGAUUUUCUUUGGUUGUUUUCCCAGUGGUCAGCAGCUCCAAAUGGUGCUGGAAAUAGUGUGAGAGAAGCAGCUUGCUGCAGACUGCGCUCAGUUCCGAAAUUCUCUCAGAUGCCUUUCUUGCCAAAUUCUCUUGGAAAGAGAUUGUGUAAUCAAACGGGGUUGCAUGUAAAAACACACUUGUGUACGUCCAGGCGUGCAGGGUAUUGCCAAAGUGGACAGACUGUCCUGCCUGUGCCUGCCAGAAAAGUUGUGUUUUGUCCAGCGGAAAGGAAAACAUCCU